CCCUUAGAUGUCCUGGGCCGCACGCGCGCUACACUGACAUGUUCAACAAGCCUCCUAGUUCGACAGGAUUUGGGAAAUCUUUGAACGCAUGUCGUGAUAGGGAUAGAUCAUUGCAAUUAUUGAUCUUGAACGAGGAAUUCCUAGUAAACGCGAGUCAUCAGCUCGCAUUGAUUACGUCCCUGCUCUUUGUACACACCGCCCGUCGCACCUACCGAUUGAAUGUUUCGGUGAAGAUUCCGGAUAGGACUUUUUUGAUUUAUUUCAAUUCUGUCUUAAAAGCUAUCUAAACCUCAACAUUUAGAGGAAGGUGAAGUCGUAACA
rnacentral:rRNA from 1 species